rnacentral:lncRNA from 1 species
UUUAGAUGGUCCUAGUAUGACUUGUUAACAGUAGAUAAAAAAUAGGACUCUGUUUUAAUAGAUUUGUACCUUUUUUUUUUUUGUGAAGCUAUGUUUUUUUCUUUUUGACAAAAUGCUUAUUUAUAUUUAAGAACUAAUAUGAUCCUCAUGGAGGUAGUUUGCAAUUGAAAUGGGAACAUAAACGUGAUAAGUGUAAGAAGAGAAUGCUUGAGAUGACGUAUUGGUCAGAGCAUCAGCAUCUUUGUUGUUUUGUCUUGUUGUCCAACAAAGAUACAUGAUUCAACUAUUGUUUUCCAACACUAUCUCUCUGAUCCAGUUGUGGAGUCUGAAAUUCUUCUUCCUGCAAGUACCCAAAUCAUAAAGUUGCUUACUGUAACCUUCAAAAAUAACAUACUUAUCACUUGUGUCCAUUCUCGUUCCAUUUCAAAUAGUAGCGCUUGUAGUUCCG